rnacentral:rRNA from 1 species
UCGUGACUGCGUGCCUUUUGAAGAAUGAGCCUGCGAGUUUGCGGUGUGUUGCGAGGUUAACCCGGGUGGGGAAGCCGUAGCGAAAGCGAGUCCGAACAGGGCGUUUCAGUAGCACGCUCAAGACCCGAAGCGGAGUGAUCUAGCCAUGGGCAGGUUGAAGCGGAGGUAAGACUUCGUGGAGGACCGAACCCACCAGGGUUGAAAACCUGGGGGAUGACCUGUGGUUAGGGGUGAAAGGCCAAUCAAACUCCGUGAUAGCUGGUUCUCCCCGAAAUGCAUUUAGGUGCAGCGUCGUGUGUUUCUUGCCGGAGGUAGAGCACUGGAUAGGCGAUGGGCCCUACCGGGUUACUGACCUUAGCCAAACUCCGAAUGCCGGUAAGUGAGAGCGCGGCAGUGAGACUGUGGGGGAUAAGCUCCAUGGUCGAGAGGGAAACAGCCCAGAGCAUCGACUAAGGCCCCUAAGCGUACGCUAAGUGGGAAAGGAUGUGGAGUCGCACAGACAACCAGGAGGUUGGCUUAGAAGCAGCCACCCUUGAAAGAGUGCGUAAUAGCUCACUGGUCUAGUGAUUCCGCGCCGACAAUGUAGCGGGGCUCAAGCGUACCGCCGAAGUCGUGUCAUUCACACAAUAGGGCCAACGCCUGUGUGGAUGGGUAGGGGAGCGUCGUCUGCCGGGUGAAGCAGCACCGGAAGGUAGUUGUGGACGGUUGACGAGUGAGAAUGCAGGCAUGAGUAGCGAUUCACACGUGAGAAACGUGUGCGCCGAUUGACUAAGGGUUCCUGGGUCAAGCUGAUCUGCCCAGGGUAAGUCGGGACCUAAGGCGAGGCCGACAGGCGUAGUCGAUGGAUAACCGGUUGAUAUUCCGGUACCCGCUGUGAAGCGUCAAACAUCGAAUCCAGUGAUGCUAAGCCCGUGAAGCCGCCGGCUGAGUCUUCGGACGAGGUCGGAGUGGUGGAGCCGGUGACCCGAGCUGGUAGUAGGUGAGUGAUGGGGUGACGCAGGAAGGUAGUCCAUCCCGGGCGGUGGUUGUCCCGGGGUAAGGGUGUAGGCCGGACGGUAGGCAAAUCCGCCGUUCAUUGAGGCUGAGACCUGAUGCCGAGCCGAUUGUGGUGAAGUGGAUGAUCCUAUGCUGUCGAGAAAAGCCUCUAGCGAGUUUCAUGGCGGCCCGUACCCUAAACCGACUCAGGUGGUCAGGUAGAGAAUACCGAGGCGUUCGGGUGAACUAUGGUUAAGGAACUCGGCAAAAUGCCCCCGUAACUUCGGGAGAAGGGGGGCCAUCACUGGUGAGAGGACGUGCUCCUCGAGCUGGGGGUGGCCGCAGAGACCAGCGAGAAGCGACUGUUUACUAAAAACACAGGUCCGUGCGAAGCCGUAAGGCGAUGUAUACGGACUGACGCCUGCCCGGUGCUGGAACGUUAAGGGGACCGGUUAGCUCCAUUUCGGUGGGGCGAAGCUGAGAACUUAAGCGCCAGUAAACGGCGGUGGUAACUAUAACCAUCCUAAGGUAGCGAAAUUCCUUGUCGGGUAAGUUCCGACCUGCACGAAUGGCGUAACGACUUCUCGACUGUCUCAACCAUAGGCCCGGUGAAAUUGCACUACGAGUAAAGAUGCUCGUUUCGCGCAGCAGGACGGAAAGACCCCGGGACCUUUACUACAGUUUGAUAUUGGUGUUCGGUUCGGCUUGUGUAGGAUAGCUGGGAGACUGUGAACUCUGGACGCCAGUUCAGGGGGAGUCGUCGUUGAAAUACCAGUCUGGUCGUGCUGGAUGUCUAACCUGGGUCCGUGAUCCGGAUCAGGGACAGUGUCUGAUGGGUAGUUUAACUGGGGCGGUUGCCUCCUAAAGAGUAACGGAGGCGCCCAAAGGUUCCCUCAGCCUGGUUGGCAAUCAGGUGUUGAGUGUAAGUGCACAAGGGAGCUUGACUGUGAGACCGACGGGUCGAGCAGGGACGAAAGUCGGGACUAGUGAUCCGGCGGUGGCUUGUGGAAGCGCCGUCGCUCAACGGAUAAAAGGUACCCCGGGGAUAACAGGCUGAUCUUCCCCAAGAGUCCAUAUCGACGGGAUGGUUUGGCACCUCGAUGUCGGCUCGUCGCAUCCUGGGGCUGGAGUCGGUCCCAAGGGUUGGGCUGUUCGCCCAUUAAAGCGGUACGCGAGCUGGGUUUAGAACGUCGUGAGACAGUUCGGUCCCUAUCCGCUGUGCGCGUAGGAGUCUUGAGAAGGGCUGUCCCUAGUACGAGAGGACCGGGACGGACGAACCUCUGGUGUGCCAGUUGUUCUGCCAAGGGCAUGGCUGGUUGGCUACGUUCGGGAGGGAUAACCGCUGAAAGCAUCUAAGCGGGAAGCCUGCUUCGAGAUGAGGACUCCCACCUCCUAGAGAGGGUAAGGCUCCCAGUAGACGACUGGGUUGAUAGGCCGGAUAUGGAAGCACGGUAACGUGUGGAGUUGACCGGUACUAAUAGGCCGAGGGCUUGUCCUC